CGCGAUCCAGUGUUGACGCUGUUCUACUUCAUACAGUCGGCUCGGAAACCUGUAACACUUCGUUCCUGAUCGCGGCGCGGCGGCGGAAGCGGGCGUUGCAGCGCCAUUGGGGAAGUCGAGGUGGUUCACGUUGCGGCUUCCUCAACUAUGCUUCUCUUCUCCGCCCGUCACCGCAAGAACUCUGGACGUUCUCUCUUUGGUGUGCUCGCAUGCCACGGACUGUGUGCGACCCAUUUGCAGCCAUGUCUCAUUGUAAGACAGGUUGAUUUGAUUUGAGGACACACCGCUUUCUCCCUGCAUAAUCGCAGCAGGUGAUGACAUCUGGAUGCCUGAAGAGUACCUAUUGCUUGUUGAUGGCCAUGUUGUGGCAGCAGCAAAGAUGUUCAAGCAAGCAUUCCGCAUGCUGUUUGCAGCUUACUGCUGCUUCCACAUUUGUUAUGCAGAGAAGGCGUCAUGCACACUUGAAUUCAUACAAAGCAUGGACUAGUUGACCACACGCAGGGAUACUUUUUCGUCUGCCAAGCAGCCCAGAACCUUACAAUGCGAACUACAGAAAUGGUUCCCUUUCACCAAGUCAUCUACAUAA